rfam:Callithrix jacchus chromosome 9, whole genome shotgun sequence
AACUUUGCACAGUGGCAGUAUUGUAACCAGUGAGGUUUAUCUGAGGCUCUAUUAUUGCUAAUUGAGAAGCUUGCAAAUCUAUGCCAUGUAUCAUUAAUGGAUAUCCAUAUAUAACAAAAGUUUUUAAAGAUGUGAGGGAAUA